UGGCUCAGGAUGAACGCUAGCGACAGGCCUAACACAUGCAAGUCGAGGGGCAUCGGGGCGGGGAGCAAUCCUUGCCGCCGGCGACCGGCGCACGGGUGAGUAACGCGUAUGCGACCUGCCCGUUGCAGGGGGAUAAUCGGGAGAAAUCCCGUCUAAUACCGCGUAAUGCCGCGGGGCUGCAUGGCCCUGCGGCCAAAGGGAGCGAUUCCGGCAACGGAUGGGCAUGCGUGACAUUAGCUAGUUGGCGGGGCAACGGCCCACCAAGGCGACGAUGUCUAGGGGUUCUGAGAGGAAGGUCCCCCACACUGGUACUGAGACACGGACCAGACUCCUACGGGAGGCAGCAGUGAGGAAUAUUGGUCAAUGGGCGCGAGCCUGAACCAGCCAAGUCGCGUGAGGGAUGACGGCCCCACGGGUUGUAAACCUCUUUUGUCGGGGAGCAAAUUCCGCCACGUGUGGCGGAGUCGAGAGUACCCGAAGAAAAAGCAUCGGCUAACUCCGUGCCAGCAGCCGCGGUAAUACGGAGGAUGCGAGCGUUAUCCGGAUUUAUUGGGUUUAAAGGGUGCGUAGGCGGACUGUCAAGUCAGCGGUAAAAUACGGGGGCUCAACCUCCGCCCGCCGUUGAAACUGACGGUCUUGAGUGGGCGAGAAGUAUGCGGAAUGCGUGGUGUAGCGGUGAAAUGCAUAGAUAUCACGCAGAACUCCGAUUGCGAAGGCAGCAUACCGGCGCCCGACUGACGCUGAAGCACGAAAGCGUGGGUAUCGAACAGGAUUAGAUACCCUGGUAGUCCACGCAGUAAACGAUGAAUACUAGCUGUCCGGGGCGAAUGAGCCCUGGGUGGCACAGCGAAAGCGUUAAGUAUUCCACCUGGGGAGUACGCCGGCAACGGUGAAACUCAAAGGAAUUGACGGGGGCCCGCACAAGCGGAGGAACAUGUGGUUUAAUUCGAUGAUACGCGAGGAACCUUACCCGGGCUCAAACGACACAGGAACGUACCUGAAAGGGUUCGGCUCUACGGAGCCUGUGUCGAGGUGCUGCAUGGUUGUCGUCAGCUCGUGCCGUGAGGUGUCGGCUUAAGUGCCAUAACGAGCGCAACCCCCAUCGACAGUUGCUAACAGGUCAGGCUGAGGACUCUGUCGAGACUGCCGGCGCAAGCUGCGAGGAAGGCGGGGAUGACGUCAAAUCAGCACGGCCCUUACGUCCGGGGCGGCACACGUGUUACAAUGGCAGGUACAGCGGGAAGCCACCUGGCGACAGGGAGCGGAACCCGAAAGCCUGUCUCAGUUCGGAUUGGAGUCUGCAACCCGACUCCAUGAAGCUGGAUUCGCUAGUAAUCGCGCAUCAGCCACGGCGCGGUGAAUACGUUCCCGGGCCUUGUACACACCGCCCGUCAAGCCAUGGAAGCCGGGGGUGCCUGAAGUGCGCUGCCGCGAGGAGCGCCCUAGGGUAAAACCGGUGACUGGGGCUAAGUCGUAACAAGG
rnacentral:rRNA from 1 species